CUCAGCAGAAGGCUCCUGAGAGGAGGAAGAGGAGCAGAACCAAGAGAAGAUGAAGUCGUGGCGUCUCCUCAGCUUCCUCGUUCUCGUCGUCUCUUCUGUUCCAGGACAACAUGAAACUACGUCUGCAGCCGAGACGGGAGAUCCUCAUCGCUCCCCCGGCCCGUCGACGACAGAAACCCAGAGGACCGCCUCCGGCGCCGCGGUCGCCACGCCCGGAGCCCGAGAACCGGAGGCCAGUGGAGGGGCCACGGUGCCCAAUGGAGGGGCCACGGCGCCC